GUCGUUCGAAAGAGAAAAAGCUUGGCAAGUCGAAGCUCGGCUGAGUUGAUUUAUCAAUGAUUGUUGGUGCAGCAGCUGACAGCUAGCAGUUGCUGUAGUUGUAGUUUGGUCGGGUCGUGUCGGGUCGGUCGGACUGGGUUGGAUUGGAUUGGUACUAGCACUCUUAUUGUUGUUAUCGUUUCGGUUGGUGUGUCUUGUCGUUGCAUGUAAUUUGUUGAGAAUAAUGAAUGUUGUUAUAGAGAUGUUGUUAGCAGUAGGUUAAUUUAUUUUGUUUGUUGUACAUUUAUCCACAUUCAAGGCUAUGACACUUAACGGCACAACAACAAACACAAUGUACAUACUGACUGACACGGACUGGCUGAUAUACAUACUUGAGCACAGGCGUUGGUAUGUAUAUAUGUACAUGUUAUGUUGGUAGGUAGUUAAGCCAAUAGGUAGGAAAUCGUUUACAAUUUAUGUGUGUAACAUCAUAACGAUAAUCAACUAAAAUACAUACGGGCUUGCGAAUAAUUUAUCACAGACAGACAAACGUACGAUUAUAGUCACUUCGAUUCGAUUCGAUUUGAUACGAUUCGAUUCGUGCUGCUGAGGCCCGUACAAGCAACAUAGAAUUGAUUUUUCUUCGCCAGCGCAAUGUGAAGGGUGCUGUUUUGUGUUGUGCUGUGCUGUGCUUUCUUUCACUAUCUCAUAUUUUCACUUUGGCUUAGAGUGGUGAUGGCCAUUAUUAAGAGAACUUUGCUAUGUUACCGCACAACGCUUAUCACGAACAACAAAAAUACGACUGCUCGACUGUGUGAACACGAACUUACACUUUUAUCCUGUCCUGCUUUCGUUUUCAACCUUCUCUCAACGAAAGUGAGAACGAAGUAGAAUGAAACAAUACCUCGCAAGCAAGCGUUGUGCUGUGUGUGUGUAUGUGCGUCUGCAAAUAUGUGCCUAUGUUUCAUCUAUAAGUAUACAUUGAGGCGAACAUGGACGUAUUUCGUGUUCUGUGAGCCAUCCGAAGGGUAACCAGGGAAAGUCAUGGAUUGCAGUAAAAUGGCACACACCAACAUACAAAACGAGUACGUAGUUGUGGUUUGGCAAGACGAAAACUUCAACUUUGGUUUGGUUGUGGUGAAUUCUAUCAACAUAGUGUUCGAUUGCCUGACUCUUGCAGAACAUUUGCUCUUAAGGCUCCUAAAAAGAGAUUGCAUGCUUGGAUGUUAUAUGGAAAUGAUUGCUCACGCAAACUAUUUAAUACGCCAAUAUGAGUGAGUGCAUUUAGGAACAUUCUAUAGGUACAAAGGUUUCUCUAACGCGAAAUAUUUUUUAUUUUCGAAUAAUUUACAUUCCACAUAAGAACUUCUGCAGAUAUUUCAACAUAUCCAAAGGGCCGUACCCAAACUUACAUUUUCAUAUCACAUUCAUAGCACAACGCUUAGUGCAACCGACCAUUUUUAAACCUAAAUUUUAAAAUGUUAAGUUUAUAUUAAAGAACGCAAUUACACGAAAA